AACAACUAAAUUGGUCUCCCAAUUGAAUCCAACAACUAAAUUGGUCUCUUCCCAAACGUAUCCAACAACAAUGAGCACAAGAAAACAGCCCAUGCCCUUGCAAAGUCUAUUACGAUUGUAAAAGACAGGAGAUCCUUUUGAGUUUUGACCAUUGAUCUCUGGUUUCUUGAACACUUUCUUUCAAUAAUACACCGCACGCAAAGUUCCUUGAAGCUUGCAUGAAGAAGUUUAACUCCAAUGGCAGGAACAAAGUCCCUAACACAAACUUAGAACGUGUGUCAAGCAAUCCCUUCCAUACACCUUUUCAAUUACUUUCAUUUAUAGAGGAAUUGGCAGCUUCUGAUAUCGCGGUGAACACAUUGAUGGACAUGAGGGUCGUUAUUUUCCUUGGAUGGUACGGUGGCUUUCCUAAGGCACAUAGAUCUUUCCUUGCAUUCACGAGUUCAUGGAGUAGAAUAGCCUUGCUGAGACAUGCGGGUUCAACUUCUUGGCCAGCGAUCUCCUCCGGCAAAUGGCAAUUGGAUGAGGCCUUCUCCGACGACUACUGUGAUUACAUCUCUCCGGAUGGUGGAACUUCAUCGGUGGUAUCUAAGGACAUUGUCUCUGACAAAAAAUAGCAUGAAGCAGAUCAAUGAAAGACCCUUUUCACUUAGGACAGUCGAUUCCCAACAUCACCAAGUGUCUGCAGCAGCAGGGGACUAUGAUUUUGAAUAGGAUCUUCCCAUUGUUACCAGAUCUAACAAGAAGAGACCCAAUAACCUUUUCUUUGAUACCUCGUCUACUUCUUCCUCAAUAAAUAACACCAACUAUUUCCCUAUUGAACUGAUUGAUCUUUAUGCACAAUUGGGUUCUUGUUGGCAAGAAUGCAAGGAUAAAACCUGAGGAUUCAUGUUCCACCAUAGCUUUAAUGGCAAUUGUCAGACUAUUGAAAAGAAAUUGUUGGAUGUCCACCAAUCCAUACAUUCAGCGAUAACUCCAUUGCAACUCAGCCUCCUCGGAAGAAUGAACCUGAUGCAAGAGUAUUUGGGUUAAAUCCCAUAUCCUCCUACAACAUACGAAGCUGUCGUCAUCUGCAGUGAUUCCGGCGCCUCCAAUUCGUUCAACAGACAAAUCUCUGGCAGUUUCUCGGCGGAUAGUCCUCUUGCUUGGGCUCUUGAGAGAUCGAGACUAUAUACUUCGUCCAAUUAACAAGUGACGUGAUGAUGAGGUUGUGACAUGUGGAUAGGAGCUAAUUUUGGUAAUCAUCUUGAUUAGGAAGCUACAUUUAAGGUAACAUACUAAAAUGUAAGAUAAUAACAUGAGAGAAGUUCAAAGGAUAAUAACAGAAAGUUAUUUUUUUUAUUAAUUUUUUUACCAAGUUAAUUAAUUCUGUUUCACUAAGGUUGUAUUGGCCGUCUGAAAUUCACUAUCUUGGUAUUACUAUAUUGUAUCCAAUAAGAAAAAAUAUUGAAUAGAUAAUUUAAUACACUUUUAACAGUAAAAAAAAAUCAUCCUAAAGAUAGCAGAAAGUUUCAAGAUUCUAGAGCCACUUUAGUUAUACUGUUGACCAUAUCCAUGGCUUUAUAGAAUACAUUGUGCUUGAUUAUCUCCCAUGAUAACUCUUCUUGACAACAUGUUCUAUCAGAGAACAAAAGAUAUUAAUUUGGAAAUUUUAGGCACCUCAUCAAUCGAAACCUCUGUAACCAAAGAUUGUGCAAUAUCUUAAGAUUUAUACCUGAUUACUCUUUUUGUUACCAUGCAUCAUCAUUUUUUUCCCUGCUCUGGUUCUUCCUAGUCUGCAGGAUUAUAUAUUUUCAAGCAAUACUCUUUUUUUUGUGUAUCUGUUUGCAGAUAGCUGAAACAGGUUUUUUACGCACUAUUUUCCUACAAUGAGUCUUGUUGCAUGUAGAACUGAUCGCAAAAGGCGUUUCUUUGGCACAAGAGAGCAUUGGCGAAAUGAUAAGGAAUCAAGAAUUAUGUUUUGCGCAUACAAA